rfam:Medicago truncatula strain A17 chromosome 4, whole genome shotgun sequence.
AGACCGUGAUGGGGACAACGUCUAAAUAUUUCUUUAAAACGCUCCCACACAUCAAAAAGAGAUUCCCCGUUUUUCUGAGUAAAUUGGUAAAGCUUUCCCCUAAGUUG